AGAGUUUGAUCAUGGCUCAGAACGAACGCUGGCGGCGUGCCUAACACAUGCAAGUCGAACGAGAAAGUGGGCUUCGGUCCAUGAGUAAAGUGGCAGACGGGUGAGUAACACGUGGGUAACCUGUCCGGAGGUGGGGGAUAACUGUCCGAAAGGAUGGCUAAUACCGCAUGAUAUCGUCGGGGUUUCGGCCUUGACGAUCAAAGCUGGCCUCUACUUGUAAGCUAGCGCCACCGGAGGGGCCCGCGGCCCAUUAGCUUGUUGGUGAGGUAACGGCUCACCAAGGCUACGAUGGGUAGCCGGCCUGAGAGGGUGUCCGGCCACACUGGAACUGAGACACGGUCCAGACUCCUACGGGAGGCAGCAGUGAGGAAUCUUGCGCAAUGGGCGAAAGCCUGACGCAGCGACGCCGCGUGGAGGACGAAGGUCUUCGGAUCGUAAACUCCUGUCAAGUGGGACGAAACUCGCGAGGGUGAACAAUCCUCGCGACUGACGGUACCAUUGAAGGAAGCCCCGGCUAACUCCGUGCCAGCAGCCGCGGUAAUACGGAGGGGGCCAGCGUUGUUCGGAAUUAUUGGGCGUAAAGGGCGCGUAGGCGGCGUGGUAAGUCGGGCGUGAAAUCCCUCGGCUCAACCGAGGAAUUGCCUCCGAUACUGCCAUGCUUGAGUCCCGGAGAGGGUAGCGGAAUUCCCAGUGUAGCGGUGAAAUGCGUAGAUAUUGGGAGGAACACCAGUGGCGAAGGC
rnacentral:rRNA from 1 species